UCCGGUUUGAGACCAUAACCAUCGGAAGUCUUUCCCUUCUCCACUCUCCCGUAUGCACAUUGCUAGGGUUCUCUUCGUCCUCUUCCAUCUGAUUCUUUGGUCCCUGAACGGCUGCACGUCGCCCUUCGAGCCGUCGUCGUCGUCCUCCUCCCCUGGUCUCCGGUCCAAGAGGGGUGGACGCAACCUUCCUCUCGUCGGCCGACGGCGUGCAUUGAUGAGGGACAUGUUUCUCUUCCUCUCUAGAAUCUUCUUAACCCCCCCUCCUCUCGGUGCCGGUCGACAAAGCGAGGUCUGCAAUCAGGGUUGCGUUCGCCUUCAAUUAGGGGACACCUGCACACCUACAGGUUCUGUGACAACGUGUGGACCUUCAUAUUACAAGAUGCAACAUUCAAGAAUGAGGAAUGUGAGGAACGAGUUGGGAGAGUGAAGAUUGUCGCUUGCGACUCCAAGUUGCUUACUCAAUGAGUGCCCUACAUAUUACUUUUGUUUAUUAUGGAGCACAUGGAUGGAAUUCAACUAAUUGGACUGUCUUCGAAUGCAUCUUUGCAUGAUUACUCAAUAUGUUGGGGCCAUAUCUAGAUGUCCACCGACUCAAAUCAGUUGAAAAUAUGCAUGGAGGGAGAGUAGUAGGUUCAUGGCAAACGGCUGCAGUUUAGGUCCAAGCAACACGGUUGCAGCAUGGGAAAGGAAGAGAAUUAUAUUGUCAAUUUCUGUGUUCCAGUCAUGUUGGUUUUGAAACCAUAGCAAAGGAUGCAUGGGGAGUAAAUAAAGAAGGGAAAGAACACAAGAUUCAAGUGUGGAGAUGCUGUGUCCGACAAAAUAUACAGAUGUUUAGGUAGAAAUAUGAUGAGAAUCAAAUCAAGUACCUACUUUUACGGGAUAAAAACCAAUCAACCUGCUUUAUUUGCUCACGAACUGUACCAAGAUUCUAUUUCGUGGGGUACGGCCUCACCUUCUUCUCUGUGGCGGAGGGGGUCGGCUUCGAGAGCUCACGCUUCGGGAGGGAGAAGAAGAGUAGGAGGAUCUGAAAAAAAUCCAAGCUUUGUUCCCGAAAUCUAUCAGAAGCCCAAACAAAAUCGAAGUAAUCGGCGAUUGGGAAUGGAAGAAAGAAAGACCCGCCUUACCUCCUUAUUUUUUUUUUUUUUUGUCAUGUGGCUCCCUUUUCUCUCCCCCAACACUCACGCGGCAAAUGGAGGCUCUUUCGUUGAGAGUCACCCAUGCUACGGGUGAAAUUUUGUUUUAAGCAUGGGUGAAAUUUUAUUUUACUUUAGAUGUUAUAUGAAUUUAAUAAUUUU